rnacentral:lncRNA from 1 species
AGAGAAUACCAUACAAGUUUACAUGGAAUUUACCCCAUGACACUUUCUGAUAUUCAGCAUAACCGUAACCUCCUACCGUGCUGUGUUAAACAGGCCUUGGAGAUGAUCUCUUAAGCAGGUGUCUUCAUGUCUCCUUAUUUCUUUCCUUGUGUGUUCCUUCAAAAAAAAUUUUUUGUAGAAAAAUAUAACCAGAGGUGUAAGUAUUGUCUUUCCCCUGCCAAGCUGCAAUUGGAAAUAGCAGCAGGCCAAAAGUAGUUACAUAUGUGGAUUUGUCUCUGCUUUCUCUGCAACUUUUAUAAUCAGAUCAGUUCAGUAGUUCAGUAUAAUUCAUGGGAGGAUGGGAAACUAAUUUGCUUAUUAUAAAUGGACUUGACCUGGAUAACAAAUGAAUUAAAAAUAACGAUAAACAAGGUA